AGUUUCCAUGUCUUGAAGGAACUGAAAUAACCCAAGAGGUCUAGAUUCAUUCCAGAGAGCUACCCAAUUCACGCCAGGCUGGCAUGAUGUGACAUAGAAUAUGUUCUGAUGAAUAUUCCACUACGAAGUGGAAAUUUUGAUCCUCUUCUUCCGUAAUAAGUUAAAUUUCCAAUUGGCGGUGCCGUAUUUGUAUCUGUAUCGACUUUUGGGGAAAAGUGACCAUUAAAACCCUGGUUCGAGUCUCGCCAACUGACGAAGGCAUUGUUCAACCAAAAACUUACAGCGAAACGCGCUUGUCGGGACAAGCAGAUCAGAAAUCACCAACAUUAAUUGGAGGAACACAAUCCUAUCAGAAGAUGUUGCAGUCAGACCAAGGAAAUGUGUCACAGGAGCAUGGAAAUCAUUCUGCUAUUCCUCAACAUCAAUCAGCAGCAAUGACGGGCACUGCUGCCAAUGGAGGUGCAAGACAACGCGUGAGGGCUCGUCGAGGUCAAGCUACUGAUCCACAUAGUAUAGCUGAGCGGCUCCGAAGGGAAAGGAUUGCAGAAAGAAUGAAGGCUUUGCAGGAACUUGUUCCAAAUUCUAAUAAGACAGAUAAAGCAUCUAUGCUGGAUGAAAUAAUUGAUUAUGUCAAAUUUCUACAGCUGCAAGUAAAGGUUUUGAGCAUGAGCAGGUUAGGUGGAGCAGGUGCAGUUGCACCUCUAAUUGCUGAUGUUCCUACUGAGGGAUCUGGUGGUCUGGGAUCAACAGCUUUGGUUCAAGCAUGUCAAUCACUGCCAGAAGAUGGUCUAGCUUUUGAGCACAAAGUUGCAAAGCUCAUGGAGUCCAACAUGACCAGUGCUAUGCAGUAUUUGCAAAAUAAAGGUCUCUGCUUGAUGCCAAUUGCACUGGCCAGUGCCAUAUCAAGUUCAACUGGAAAGCCUCUUCUGGGAGCUGGGCCAACAACUUCUGUGGAUGGUACCAAUGACAGACAAAGUUCAGGAACACAGCUUACUACAUUACCUAUCAAUAACUGCUCACCACGUGUUGGAAUUGGAGCUGGUGGGUUUGGAAGUGAUGGCUCUUUAAAGGAAGUGUCAGAAAAGAAAAUGGUGAGAGGUGUAUUCUCAAGUUUCAACAAAUAAGUCAAAUUUAUCUACAUUUGGAAUUUAAUGAAGUGCACUCCCAACUUAGGAAUAAAGAAUAGGGAAGACAUUCCAGCUUCGUUGAUGUCGAGUUCAACAGGAGCGUUGCAACUUACAAUAGAUUGAAAGUAAUCUAGUAGGCACAUGAUAUGGAAAGAAUGUAGGUUCAAAGCAUCUGACAAAGCUUACCUUGUAAUGAUCUGGUCAUUUUACAUUACAGUGAUAAAAAAAUUAGACCUAGCUAUCAACAAUAUGCUGGGCAUUACGAUAAUAUUUAUGUCUCAUAAAUAACACAAUCUUUGACACUUUCUAACAGAAAAUACUGGCAAGGAACUGUCAUGGUUGUGACAUGGCAGUGAGCCCUUUUCUUUUUGUUUUUUGAUUUUGGGCUAUAUUAAUUCACUAUAAAUCGUUUUUUGA